UUCCUGCCUCUGCCACACUGGUAACCAUCGCCAGGGUUUUCAAAAGAGCUGCCUUCAUCACCAUGCCCAACAUGAGCCAGGCAAGAGGAGCACAAAGCAAGCAAUUGACAAUUCAAGACAAUUCAAGCGUGGGAACACUCCGAUUUCCAUUUCUGCUGAGGUAGUCAUUCUCCAAUCAAACAUGGAAAGAGAUCCACCCCCUUUCCUCUUUAUCUUUUUUUAAUCUCCCCAGAUUGAACUUCAGCCCCUGUUGAGUCAUUUCAGACAAGGCUGGAAAAGAGUACGAACAAACAUCUAGAGGGAAAGGCAUGCAGCUUGUGCAUCAUUCUGCUUCGCUUUAAAAGGAGAAAUUGCUGGUCUUGCUGGCAAAGGGAAAAAGGGAAGAUUUAAAGAGCAGAAACCUAAUCUAGGCCUCUAAUCACAAUCAGUCACAUUAAUCAUGAAGUUUCAGUUCUCCACAAAAUGUAUGUCAGAAAGAAAGGCCCCAAAAAAAAAAAACCCCACUAAAGAGAAGCAGAAGAGAGAACACGGUGUUCAAGGUUGGCAAUGAUGUUACUUUGGAGAACAACAUGGUGGGAAUUUAUCUGGCCGAAGGAAAAAAACAGAUUUGUCUGCUGAACAAGAAGUGAUCUUAUGCAAGAGAUAACUCCAGGAUGUCACUGAAGUGGAGGUUUUUCAGAAUGGUUCUGUUGGAAAGAGGAGAAAUACAGCUACAUCAUGGGAAUCAAGUUGUGAUGGAAUAUUUUCAAACUGUGGAUUACUGAAUUUGUGGAUCAAAAAUCCAUGGAUAUGGAAUGGAAGGCUGACUGCAAUCACAAUUCUUCCUCAUCUUAAAGGAUGGCUGCCCUUAUUCAAAAGUUACUGGGACUAUUAGAGUUGUACAUUCAACAUUAUAAAUUCUUAUUCCUCUGGCCUACCUAUUUCCUAGAGCAAAUGACAGUAAGAUCCCAGCUUAAACUCUUCAAACUAAAAAUUGAUCAUCUUGCAGGGCUAUUACAAAAACAACUGAAAGGAGAAAUGGAAGCACUCUGAACACACUGGAAAUGGUUUAUAAUAUAUAUUGAUGGGUGCAUAGUCAAUGAUGUUCGUGCAUUUUCUUUAUAUAGGGGUUUUUUAAGAAUUAAAAUAAAUUAAUUUAAAAACCAUGUAGAAAGUAUUUGCUUCUCAAGGUUUCCCAGAAUUCCUUGUGUUUGACAUUGAAAGACAACAUAUUUUGAAGCUUGCAACAUGUAUAUUGUGCAUUUCUAGAUUUUGGAUGUUAUUGUAAUUUACUGUAUGGCCAACACGGCACCCCAUGGAUAUGUUAUCUGAACAUUUGCUUUAGUUUCCCGAGUCCUGGAACAUAAGAAUGGCUGGUAUCUUUCUGAAUAAAAUUAGAAUAAAACUUG